rnacentral:lncRNA from 1 species
AUCUCUGACUUCAGACUAGACGAUAUGCUAGAUUCAGAAUCAGACUUCGUCAAGUACAAAAGAGGUCCCUCUGAAAAGAAGUCUUCAAAAGCAAAGAAAGCAAGGCUAGGAGAAACAUCUGAAUCAAGACCUUCAGCGCCUCUGCAAGAAACUUCUGGUAUGUCUGCCCCUACUAUUCCCUCUGAACCUCCUUUGGUUUCCUCUAUUCCUCUCCCAACACCUAUCUACACCUCCUCUGAAACCCCACCUUCUA